AUGAACUGGUGUCCAGGCUUAGUGACCGUGGUUCUCUUAGUGCUUGGACGAACCCGUGGAGACUCAGUGACCCAGACGGAAGGCCAAGUGACCCUGUCCAAAGGGGAUCCCCUGACUCUGAACUGCUCCCAUGAAUCCACAGGUUACCCCACUCUCUUCUGGUAUGUUCAGUCUCCUGGAGAAGGUCCAGUGCUCCUCCUGAAAGCCACCAAAGCCGAUGUUAAGGAAAGCAACAAAGGUUUUGAAGCCACACACCACAAACAACAAAAUUCUUUUCACUUGGAGAAAACCUCAGUGGAGGAGUCUGAUUCGGCAGUGUACUACUGUGCUGUGAGUGACACAGUGACAGAAACUGCAGGGGGAGCUGAGCACAAACUCUGGCACUGA